GAUGAACGCUGGCGGCGUGCCUAAUACAUGCAAGUCGAGCGAACGGACGAGAAGCUUGCUUCUCUGAUGUUAGCGGCGGACGGGUGAGUAACACGUGGAUAACCUACCUAUAAGACUGGGAUAACUUCGGGAAACCGGAGCUAAUACCGGAUAAUAUUUUGAACCGCAUGGUUCAAAAGUGAAAGACGGUCUUGCUGUCACUUAUAGAUGGAUCCGCGCUGCAUUAGCUAGUUGGUAAGGUAACGGCUUACCAAGGCAACGAUGCAUAGCCGACCUGAGAGGGUGAUCGGCCACACUGGAACUGAGACACGGUCCAGACUCCAACGGGAGGCAGCAGUAGGGAAUCUUCCGCAAUGGGCGAAAGCCUGACGGAGCAACGCCGCGUGAGUGAUGAAGGUCUUCGGAUCGUAAAACUCUGUUAUUAGGGAAGAACAUAUGUGUAAGUAACUGUGCACAUCUUGACGGUACCUAAUCAGAAAGCCACGGCUAACUACGUG
rnacentral:rRNA from 1 species